GGUCAUCUACUUCCUCGCGGGCCGCAUGGCGGGUCGCUCGAUCUGGCCCGCACCACUUCUGCGUCCCUCCGGUGCCGCCUCUCCCGGAUGGAGGUCUACCUGCGCCGCACCUGGGGACACAGAGGAGGCGGAGGCUCUAAGCCGCUAGCCUUCCCCACCUGCAGCACCUGGGGAGUGAGCAGCACGGCAGCUAGGAGAGCAGCGAGAGCACCACCGCUCCUCACCUCCCUCGCUUGAUUCUUGCAGUUCGGUCGCACACACCCAUGCGGUUUGUCCCUGCUAGCACCCAUGUUGUCUUCCUACUGAUGGCGAGCAGUGCAGAUAAAAUAUCGUUGCAGGUAGUUGUGGUCGUCGAUGUAGUUCGCACGCACAUGAUGGCGUGACGGCGUGCAGUUCCGACGAGUCAACCCACCUCCUCAUGUCCCCCGAAUCGGAUACGACAAGCUCUAUCACCACGCGCCGGCGGCCGGAUCCCCACCUGCGCGCGUGCAGCCGGACUCCUUCCUCCACCGCAAAUCUGACCCCCGUCGCCUCCUUCUCAUUCAGGUGACCUUCUCCCCAACCUCUCUGCCGACCCCCUUUCCUCGUAUUUCGGCGAGGUCCCAGCCACCAACUGCAUGCAGUACGGAAGUGCGAGGCCAUGCGCAUCCCGUCCCAGAAUUUUUGUUGUUCAGAAUAAUUUAUAGUGUUUUCAGAAAAACUGAUGAGUAGUGCAGUACAGUUCAGAAGCUUUCGUUUUGUACAUUUUCCAGUGCGUUGAUGCAGUUCGUUGAGGGUGAGCCCUCGCAGUCUCCGGCAUGUGUCGUGCAGUGCGGUGCACGCGUUCGUGCAGUCCGGUGGCGGUGCCGAUGUAAGAAGUGCGGUGAGCAGUUUGUCGCCAAUCAACCCCUCCUACUCUGUUCGAGCUCCUUGCCGUGGGCUCCUCAAUGGCGCCGGAGUGGACGGAUGAUGGGUCAGGAUGGCGAUGGCUCCGGUUGCCCAGGGCGAGGGCCCCCUCUCUCCAGCUCACUAAAGUUUGUGUCGGUGUACAAAAAUAGGGACACGCUUUUGUACCCCUUUACUUGUGCACGGGCAGUCGGAGCCGCGUCCACGACCACAUCAAGCAGAACAGGGGAGGUGAGCCAAGGUAAGACUGAAGCCCAAGACAAUCAAAGCAACGUCAAGGCCAAGACCACAAAGAGCAGAGGGACGAAGCAGGUUCCCCCGGCAAGACCCUUGCCGGGACAGCUCGCCCCGCACCAACAAAGCGAGCCACCCUUGAGCCCACGCCCCCCAGCGCCAUCAUCAACGUGGGGCCACGGCUCGGGAAGGCACCUCUGUGGUGGCAUCCAGAUCUUUGUGAAGACAUAUUCAAGAUCAGAUGAGGAUUAGAAGACGACGAUUCUCGGCAAGAUCCCUGCCGAGGAAGGCCAUCAGACCCCCGGCAAGGACCUUGCCGGGGACGACAGCACACCACGGCAAGACCCUUGCUGGGCCACCCGGCAAGGCCCUCGCCAAGGACGCCAGCGGUGCCACUGCCAAACCCGCGCCGGACAAGCUUCCAUCACCGUUCACAUGCAGCUGCUAGCCCAACCAGCUGGACGGGCACCUGCGUGGCAACAUGCAACUCUCAGGCCAAUUCAUCGAGCGCCUGCGUGGCGGAAUGCAGAUCUUCGUGAAGGCUCCGCCACCGCUCCACCUCAGCUGCCCGGCUGCCUACAUGGCACCACGCACCUCAUUGGCCAGGGCGCGUGUCAAGGCGAGAAGGAGCGGUGACGGACGGGACGGGACGGGCCUCGCCCCCGUCCCCAAUGAAGCAAGGGACACCUAAGCUAUGCAUUAAAUGCAUCUUGUCCUGUAAUACGAGUGAUAAGCUCAGAGCACUGUACGCCUUUCCACCUCCUGUGUGUCACUGUGGCAGCCCCUUUCAACUAUAAAAGGAAGCCCAUGGCAUACUGGAGAAGGAUUCGGCUCUUUCGAACCACGCACUGACCACAGCUAGUUCGAGAGCUCAAGAACUCUCAGAAAUACACCCACCAAAGCAGGACUAGGGUUUUACGCAUCCUCGCGGCCCGAACCUGGGUAAAAGAUUUUUGUGCUGUCUACUAGCCCUGCUCUCCUCACAACCCUGCGCCCCGGCAACCGUAGUAGGGAUUCUUGUGAUCCUAUAGGCGUCGUUUCACACAGACAUCUUUGGCGCGCCAGGCAGGGGGUGCAAUUGUGAGAAUCUGGUCUGGUAGUUAGCCUAGUAGUUCUUCGUCGCCAUGGCCCCUAAGAAGAAGACGGCCACGACGAUCGGCUCGUUGGGAGCCGAACGGCCCGUGCCGGUGCGGACGAGCAGCGGACCGGUCGCAGACAGGACCCGGGCCGCGGCCCGCGAGCACCAGCAUCGCCCAGGCAGUCGGAGCCUGGCGAGCGGUGUCGUUCGCGUGCCAGACGACCGGCUACACGUCGCCGGAUCCAAAGACGGAGUUGGGCCCCCCGUAGGCGGCGCGGGGCCCUCCGGGGGUGUCGUCGUGCCGACUCCGGGCGGCACGGCGACCUCCAGGACGCCUACACCGGCGACCACCGUGCGUUCUUCCAAUGGUGCGCGCGCUGAACAGCGUCACCCCGUUGGUGACCCUGGGCACCGCCGUGGGAAGAGCCCUGUGCGUCAUCGGCCAGAUGAAGGGGUUCAGCACGCUCGCCGAAGCACUGGCGAAAAUGGCACGCAGCCGCUGAGUCGUGACGGGGCUCCUUCUAACGUAGUUAGAAGUCGAAGCGCACCGCGAUCGAUGCAGCUGUCGCCGCCGCCCACACCAGCGGAAGCUUUUAUCGCGCGUGCAGCUGCUCCUCGAUUUCCCUCCUGCUGCGGAGACGCUCGACGAGUGGAGGGUCACCAUCCGGAGCCUCGUCGCCGUCGCCAACAAAGACGAUCCGCGACCAGCGGGGCCCUCGGGUCGGCGCCCCACCGAGCCACCACAUGCUGGCGCUGGGAGGACCGAGGAAGCUGCGACCAUGGUGCACUCUCCUCCUCGCCAGCCGCCGCGGGCAUCGGCCCGUCGUGACGACGCUUGUGAUAACAUCUCCAUAGCGUCAUCCGACCCGCGGACCCUCCGCGACCAGCGCCAGGUCCUUCGGGAACGAGCUCACGAAGACGCUCGAACCACCGUCGAGCGUCGGCGCGAAACGCGCCGCCAGUCGGACAAGCGGGCAGGACCCGCUAUGGACCACCCGGCACCGGGGGGCUCCGGCGGCCUACCUUACGAGGUGGGCUGCCCGGCCUUUACCCGUGAGCUGCGGCAGUUUCAGUGGCCGUCCCACCGCACGUUCAAGCCCGACGUCGGCGAGAAGUACACUGGCAAAACCCAUCCGUCGGAGUUCCUCAGCAUCUACACCAUCGCGAUGCAGGCUGCUGGGGCUCGCGAUGACAAGGUGCUUGCCAACUAUUUCCCGCUGGCCCUCAAGCCCAAUGUGAUGUCUUGGUUGAUACACUUGCCGGUGGAUUCCAUUUCUUCUUGGUCGGAUCUAUGCCAUGAGUUCAUUGGCGCCUUCACAGGAGGCCACCAAGCUCAUGGCCAGGCCAGUGAUCUGCACAUCAUUCCCCAGAAGGAAAGGGAGACCCUGCGCAAGUACAUCCAGAGAUUCAGCCCGGUGCAGUACAACAUCCCCGACGUUCAUCCCGCCGCUGUGAUUAGCGCGUUCCACCAGAACGUGCGCAAUCGCAAGAUGCGCGAAGAGCUGGUGAUGACCAAAGUUAAGGACGUGGCCGAGCUCUACGUUCUGGCCGAUAGGUGCGCCCGGGUUGAAGAGGGAAGGAAGUACCCCGGCGAAGACGCCGGCGCAGAAACCGACUCUACCGAUGAAGACGCCGCUACCCCGACGAGGAAGGGCCGGCGUCGCAACAGGAAACGCAAAGGCAAGACCGUGCUUGCCGUUGAGGGAUCUGAUGACACCGGUGCCGGCAAGAAGGUCAAAGCAGAUGCCCCGGCAAGGAGAUUGCCGGGCGCGCCGCCUGCCGAGCCUUGGCGGCUACCGACAAGCCAGGAAGCUCCGGCAAGCAAUACUGCAAGAUCCACUGCACCAAGGACCACGACCUCCAGAACUGCCGGCAAGUCGAGCUGCUUGCUGAGAAGCAAAAGGCUGAGUACGAGAGGCGGGACAAGGAGAAGGACCAGGACGGUGCGGAGGGGUCCGGCAAGAAGCAUGGUGGCCAAGGAGGCCGCCCCGGCAAGGACAACCAGCAAGAGAGGCCCGCCCGGGGCCGCGCCAAGAAACAAGAAGACGAUGAUCACGACGAGGACGACAAGUCUGGUGAGCAAUGGUUCCAGAAGGCUACGGAGGCCAUGUGCGAUGAUGGCGGGGCGUCGCUGCAUACCUCUCAUCGCCAGCUCAAGCAGUGGGCGCGUGAGAUUACAGCAGCAGAGCCGUCGUUCGACGCUCAAAAGCCGCUGAAGUGGUCUAGCACGCCCCUCAUCUUUGACGCCGAGGACCACCCUGACCGCACUGCCGCGGUCGGGUGUUUGCCAUUGUUGGUCUCACCAACGAUACGCAACCUCAGAGUGAACAAGAUGUUGGUUGACGGUGGGGCCGGCCUGAACCUGAUCUCGCCUGUCGUGAUCAAAAAGUUGCAAAUCCCUGAUGGAGACCUUGAGGAAACGGGCACGUUUCAAGGGGUCAAUCCGGGGAGGAGCCAACCGAAGGGAAAGGUCACACUUCCCGUGACGUUUGGAGGAGAGUUGAACUACAGGACGGAGAGGAUCGUCUUCGACGUAGCCGAGAUCCCCUUGCCCUACAACGGGAUCCUCGGGCGCCCAACACUAGCCAAGUUCAUGGCAGCGCCACACUACGCCUACAACAUGCUAAAGAUGCCUGGGCCGUUGACCAUCAUCUCCGUCACCUCUGACAAGAAGGACGCGCUGAUCUGCGCCGACCAGCUCUACCGGGAAGCAGUUGCAGCGGCUGCCGCCAAGGCACCUGCUCCUGCCGCUGAAGCCCCGGGAGGAAAGAAGAAGCCCGGCAAGACCUCUCGCACCCACUCCGGCAAGCGCACCUCCUCGGAGUGUUGUGCUACCGUCGAGGACGUGCCAGAGAGCUCUACCGACAAGAGCAAGAGACCCAGGGCCGAGCCGCCGCAGACCAAGAAGGUGCCCGUCAGGGAGGAUGGCACGGGAGGGGCCUUCACCAUAGGCUCCACCCUCGACAGCAAAUGGGAAGGUGCGCUCGUCACCUUCCUGCGGGCGAAUAUCGACGUGUUUGCAUGGCAAGCAUCCGACAUCCCCGGUGUUCCCAGGGAGGUGAUUGAGCACCACCUAGCUGUCUAUCCCCACGCGCGGCCCGUCAAGCAGAAGGUCAGAAAGCAGGCUCUGGAGAGGCAGGAGUUCAUCACAGAGGAGAUCAGGAAGUUGGAAGCGGCAGGUUUGGUGAGAGGAGUGCUCCACCCGACGUGGUUGGCCAAUCCGGUAGUGGUGCGCAAGGCGAAUGGGAAGUGGAGACUGUGUAUUGAUUACACAGAUAUCAAUAAGGCUUGCCCUAAGGACCCCUUCCCGUUGUCGCGCAUCGACCAGAUUGUUGAGUCCACGGCCGAGUGCGAUCUGCUAUCAUUCCUCGACGCCUACUCAGGCUACCACCAGAUCUUCAUGACGAAAGAGGAUGAAGAGAAGACAGCAUUCAUCACCCCAUGUGGUACGUAUUGCUUUUUAGGAUGCCUUUCGGGUUGAGGAGUGCUGGCUCAACGUUCGCAAGAGCAGUCCAAAUUGGUUUUGAACCUCAGCUCCAUAGAAAUAUGGAGGCCUACAUGGAUGACAUAGUGGAGACUGUGUAUUGAUUACACAGAUAUCAAUAAGGCUUGCCCUAAGGACCCCUUCCCGUUGUCGCGCAUCGACCAGAUUGUUGAGUCCACGGCCGAGUGCGAUCUGCUAUCAUUCCUCGACGCUUACUCAGGCUACCACCAGAUCUUCAUGACGAAAGAGGAUGAAGAGAAGACAGCAUUCAUCACCCCAUGUGGUACGUAUUGCUUUUUAGGAUGCCUUUCGGGUUGAGGAGUGCUGGCUCAACGUUCGCAAGAGCAGUCCAAAUUGGUUUUGAACCUCAGCUCCAUAGAAAUAUGGAGGCCUACAUGGAUGACAUAGUGGUCAAAACCAAGGACGGGCCAACUCUUGUGCAAGAUCUGGAAGAGACAUUUGCUAACCUGCACAAGAUCAACCUCAAGCUGAACCCUGAGAAGUGUGUCUUCGGCGUUCCGUCCGGCAAGCUUCUCGGGUUCUUUGUGUCACAGCGCGGGAUCGAGGCAAACCUGGACAAGAUCAAGGCUAUUGAGCAGAUUGAGGAGCCCAAGCGGAUCAAGGAUGUACGUCGGCUCACCGGCUGCGUUGCCGCCAUGAGCCGAUUCAUCUCCAAGUCCGCCGAGCGUGCCCUUCCCUUCUUCAAAAUCUUGAAGAAGGCAGGCCCAAUAGAGUGGACCCCAGAAGCCGAGGCAGCACUGCAUGAUCUGAAGAAAUACCUUUCCUCCACGCCAAUACUGGUUGUGCCAAGACCACAAGAGCCGUUGCUGCUGUAUCUGGCGGCGACGAAUCAAGAGGUCAGCGCCGCACUGGUGGCACAGAGAGAGGUCGACGAGGAGGCAGCAAUGGCGGCAGAAUCAGCGAAUGGCAAGCCAAAGACUCCCCCGACAAGGCCUGGUGCCGACAAGGCGCGGCCCCCGCCAGAGUCUGGUGCCACCAAGGCAGUGCCCGCGCAAUCGAGUGAGGUGGUGCCGAAGAAGAAGAUGAUGCAGCACCCGGUUUACUUCGUCAGCUCCCUCUUGCAGGGGGCUAGGUCGAGGUAUUCCGGCGUGCAAAAAUUGCUCUUCGGCCUCCUUAUGGCCUCGAGGAAGCUGUGUCACUACUUCCAAGCCCACGAGAUCACUGUCGUCACCCACCUCCCGUUGCAACGGAUACUGCAUAACCCAGACGCAACCGGAAGGAUUGUGGAAUGGGCCUUGGAGCUACCAAGUUUCGGUUUAAAGUUUGAAAGUACCUCAACAAUUCAUAGCAGAGUCUUGGCGGAGUUCAUCGCAGAAUGGACCUCGACGCCUGACGAAGAAAUCCAGGAGACCACUCUCCCCGGCAAGGAAGCAGACCGCGACUGGAUCAUGUACUUUGAUGGGGCUUUCUCGCCGCAAGGCGCCGGUGCCGGUGUGCUGCUCGUCGCACCCACCGGAGAACACCUCAAGUACGUGAUCCAGAUGCACUUCCCCAGGGAGAUGUCCACCAACAACACUGCUGAGUACGAGGGAUUGCUUGCCCGUCUCAGGAUCACGGCAGACCUCGCGGUUAAGAAGCUCAUCGUCAGGGGUGAUUCGUAGCUCGUUGUCAGGCAGGUCAACAAGGAUUAUCAGAGCCCAUUGAUGGAAGCCUACGUAGAUGAGGUGAGGAAGCUGGAGGAACGCUUUGACGGUAUCCAGGCGGAGCACGUCCCCCAAGCGGAAAACGACAUCGCCGAUUACCUAUCAAAGCGUGCCGCAUUCAAGCUACCUGUGGAACCAGGUACCUUUUUGCUCCGGUUAACUCAACCAUCCGUCGAACUAUCAGCGGGGCAGAACAAGCGGAGGAAAUCAAGUCCCGGCAAGUACUUUCCUACCGAGCCCCCUGGGGCUGCCGACAAGGGUGCUGCCGCGGACGCUGAGCCUGCACAAGAGCAACUGGCUCCGGCAUGGCGUCAAGCCCUGGCCGUAGAGACAGCCGCUCCCAUGGCAGAAGAGAUGCCUUUGGUCCUUGCCGUCGAGCCCCAGGCUCCGACAUGGGCGCAACAUACCGUCCAAUUCCUCCAAACAGGGGAGCUUCCUGAGGAGCGGGAAGAAGCGGAGAAAGUAGCCCGUCGGUCCGCGCUGUACCAGUUCGUCGAUGACGUCCUGUACCAGAGAAGACCGAACGGUGUGAAACUCAAGUGCAUCGCCCGGGAGGAAGGACUAGAGCUGUUGGCAGAGAUACAUGGAGGCAUAUGUGGCUCCCACAUAGGGUCGAGGGCCCUUGCCGGGAAGGCGUUCCGGCAAGGUUUCUUCUGGCCCACCGCCCUCCAGGAUGCGACGGCACUAGUAACCAAGUGUGAAGCAUGCCAGUUCCAUUCAAAAAAGUUUCAUCAACCAUCUCAAGCCCUUCAAACAAUCCCUCUCUCCUGGCCAUUCUCGGUUUGGGGGCCCGAUAUACUGGGCCCUUUCCCCCGCGCUGUCGGGGGCUUUGAGUACUUGUACGUUGCAAUCGACAAGUUCACAAAGUGGCCGGAGGUGGAAGCAUUGAGGAAGGUGACUGCUCAGUCAGCCGUCAAGUUCUUCAAAGGACUGGUCUGCCGUUUUAGUGUGCCAAACAGAGUCAUCACCGACAACGGCACGCAGUUCACAAGCCACACCUUCUUGCAGUACAUCCAAGACCUCUGCAGCAAGGUCUGUUUUGCUUCCAUGGCACAUCCACGGAGCAACGGCCAAGCGGAGAGGGCAAAUGCUGAAAUGUUGCAAGGCCUGAGAACGAAGACCUUUGACAAGCUGCACAAGAGUGGAAGGCGCUGGAUUGAUGAGUUGCCGGCGGUUCUUUGGUCGAUCAGGACGACGCCAAAUCGAGCCACCGGCCAGACACCUUUUGCCCUGGUAUACGGGGCAGAAGCAGUUCUCCCACGGAACUCAUAUAUGGGUCACCUCGAGUGCUCGCUUAUGAUGAGCUUGAGCAAGAGCUGUUGCGCCAAGAUGACGCGACGCUCCUUGAGGAAGAUCAUCUUCGGGCGGCUGUGAGAGCGGCACGCUACCAGCAAGCCUUGCGCCGCUACCAUAGCCGCAAGGUUCAUGCCCGAAGCUUUGAGGAAGGCGACCUUGUUCUUCGGCGCGUUCAGUCGGCCAAGAAUUCCAACAAGUAGACGCCGAAGUGGGAAGGCCCUUAUCGGGUAAUACGAGUCACCAGGCCUGGCGCAGUCCGCCUGGAGACCGAGGAUGCCGUCCCAGUGAGCAACUCCUGGAACAUUGAGCAUCUUCACAAGUUUUACCCGUAAGGCGCGGCUUGCCGGGUAUCCCGGCAAGCCAUCUUUUGUACAAGCUUUGUCGGCAAGGCAUGUGACCCUUUGUACAAAGCCAGGCGCAGACCCUAAGCAUAAAUAAAUGAAGCGCUGGCGCCCUAAGUCAUAGCAUGCAUGCUAGGUCGAGUCUCUUCCUCGGUUAGGGUUGAUAGUGCUCAGCAGCGACUAACCCCUAGCUUAGAGGUCAAGUGCGCGUCUAUCUGUUCCUCUUCUGUCCUUUUUUGGUUCGCAGGGCACAUGAGCACUUCUGCUGAGCUACUUGGAAGAAAGGAAACGGACCGGCGUCCCGACCCCGGCAAACCAGAGUUGCCGGGGGCUACAAACUCGAGGAUCCGACCGCGGCAAGAUAAGACUGUCGGGGGCUGCAAAUCCAGAUAAAUCUUUUUAUCCCCUGUCAUGCAUUUCGAAACAGGACUGGGGCAUGUGAAGCCUCGUUUUUAUCUCUAGGCUACCGUGCUCCCUUUUUUCCUAUACCUAAGGAUUAUUUCCUGGGUCCGGAUUUGGUUGUAGCCGCGGCGGCAAGGAGGUAGAACGAGGAGCCUGAAGCCCACUUCAUCCCUGCCUCCGCCAAGAGCGCGAGAACGGCCGAAUGGAGUGGGGGGAAUGGCAAGGCCUGUUGCCGGGCGAAAAACGUUUAUCUUAAACAAUAACGAGAAUUCGCUCCUUGUCGCAGGAUUUACCCACGAACGAAAAGCCUGGCAAGCAUCUCUUUUUCAUUAAAAACAUCCCAUACAGGUACAGUUCGUACAAAAUGAAAAACAUGGACAAAGGGGAUUACAAGCUUUAAAUUUAACAAGGCCCGCAGGCUUACAAAUUAAAAGAAGAGAUAAGGUGCCCGUGAUCCUUUUCUUGUCCCUCUCCUCAGGAGGCAGGUCAAGGAGGCGAGAGGGCAAAAGGGGCGCCUAGGCGAGCUACGAGCAGCAAAAAGCACCAAGAGAACACCUCGGUGGCCGCCCACGGGCGGGCUGGUGAUGACGGUGCCGGAAAGGAGCUGGAAGACGAGGCGACAGGACCGGCAGUACGGGAUGAAGGCGUCGGUGCCCGUGUACUCCGAGUUGACGACCUUGCCGCCCGCCCACUUCCUCUUCCGCAACCUCCCGACGCCAGCCGCCCCAGGAGACGGCCCCGAGAAGUUCAAGGAGCUGGCCCCGCCCCGGCAAAACCCUGCCGGAGGAGCGGCCAGGUGCCGAUGCUGCUGCUGCCGCACCCGCCCAGGCGCGGGGCGUCCGACGCCUAGUCGGACUCGUCCCCGCUGUCCUUCUCGUCACUUUCGGUCGAGGAAGAGCUUCCAUCGUCGGAAUCUCCAUCAGAGGAGCUCUCCAUGCAGCAUUUCAGGCGAGUUCCAAACUCUCCAAAGACCUUGACGAAGAGCAGGCCGUCCUCCAUUAAUUUGAAGUAGAGGACGAGCCCCGCCGUCAGGCUAUGGAUGCGGGCGAACGUCUUCCAUCCACGGCGGAGGUACAUAACCCGAGGAGCCGGGAAGUCGACGUCAACCCGCGUGCCCCCGUUCCCACAGCCCCUCAUGUGCAACCUGAGGGUCUGGGGCGGGUCACGCUCCAUCACCCGAGCUAACGGGGCAGGGAGACGAAGACGACGAUGCGGAGGCCGGCGCAGCCUGAUGAAGAACUUGCAAGGCUGGUCUUCAACGUGGCCCUCCAUCGGGAAGGGCAUCGUUGGCAGUGGCAAGGCCGACGUGCUGCCCUGUCCUCCUCUUCCCCGAGCGCUACGGCCUCUGCCCCGGCCUCGCCCACGGCCUCGCCCCCUCCCCCUUCCUCUCGCAGCCGGUUCCACCACCGCGGGCUCAGGAGGAGGAGGGACACGCUGUCGAGCAGCGACCCUCGCCGCCACCGUCGAGGGACCAGGAUUCCCCUUCUCCAUGGCGGCUGAGAGGAAGAAGCAGAAGCAGGAGGAGAUAGAAGAUGGAAGAAUGCGGGAUGCCAUCCCCCUUCCCCCUCUUUAUAAAGGAAUGGGGUUGAGGCUCGGCCGCCCCGCUCGGCCAAUCCAGACACCGGAGGCGCAGGGAAUCAGGACCGACCCGCUGCCCAAACCAGCGACGGCCCGGUUUCCCGCCUCCACCGUUUCCCACCCCGAGCGCAUGAAAGACGCGUGGCAGACGUGCAGAACUGAGGGGACGGGUGAGGCGACCUCUCCCCACCCCGUGAUCGUGGGGAGUGGACGCCUUGAAGACCGCACCCCGGCCCCGCUCAAUAAAUGAGCCGCACCUCCACGCCUCCCUCUUUUUACGAGGAGGGCGCGAGCCGCCUCUUUACUGCGAAAUGACGCAUGCUUGUGAAAACCGCCCCACGCAUGCCGCCCACGCCACGCACGCCCCUCCAUGCAGUGCCGCGCGCACGGGUUGUGGGAAGCGGAGCGCGUGAAGAGUCUUACCACGGUAAAAACCGCCCCACCUGCCGGCGCACCAUUUUGGGCCUGGCCCAACAACGUGUCGCGCUUAUGUAUGGCCCAGGCCCGGGGGCUCCUGUCGGUGUACAACAAUAGGGACACGCUUUUGUACCCCUUUACCUGUGCACGGGCAGUCGGAGCCGCGCCCACACCAAGCACAACAGGGGAGGUGAGCCAAGGUAAGACCGAAGCCCAAGACAAUCAAAGCAACGCCAAGGCCAAGGCCACAAAGAGCAGAGGGACGAAGCAAGUUCCCCCGGCAAGACCCUUGCCGGGCGGCCUCAGCGGCCCCGGCAAGGCCCUUGUCGGGACAGCUCGCCCCACACCAACAAAGCGAGCCACCCUUGAGCCCACGGCCCCCAGCGCCAUCAUCAAUGUGGGGCCAGGGCUCGGGAAGGCACCUCUGUGGUGGCAUGGAGAUCUUUGUGAAGACAUUCAAGAUCAGAUGAGGAUUAGAAGACGACGAUUCUCGGCAAGAUCCCUGCCGAGGAAGGCCACCAGACCCCCGGCAAUGUCCUUGCCGGGGACGACGGCACGCCAUGGCAAGACCCUUGCCGGGCCACCCGGUAAGGCCCUCGCCAAGGACGUCAGCGGGGCCACUGCCAAACCCGCGCCGGACAAGCUUCCACCACCGUUCACAUGUAGCUGCCAUCGCAACCAGCUGGGCGGGCACCUGCGUGGCAACAUGCAACUCCCAGGCCAACUCAUCGAGCGCCUGCGUGGCGGCAUGCAGAUCUUCGCGAAGGCUCCGCCAUCACUCCACCUCAGCUGCCUGGCUGCCUACAUGGCACCACGCACCUCACUGGCCAGGGCGCGUGUCAAGGCGAGGAGGAGCAGCGACGGACGGGACGGGCCUCGCCCCCGUCCCCAAUAAAGCAAGGGGACACCUAAGCUACGCAUUAAAUGCGUCUUGUCCUGUAAUACGAGCGAUAAGCUCAGAGCACUGUACGCCUUUCGACCUCCUGUGUGUCACUGUGGCAGUCCCUUUCAACUAUAAAAGGAGGCCCAUGGCAUACUGGAGAAGGAUUCGGCUCUUUCGAACCACGCACUGACCACAGCUAGUUCUAGAGCUCAAGAACUCUCAGAAAUACACCCACCAAAGCAGGACUAGGGUUUUACGCCUCCUCGCGGCUCGAACCUGGGUAAACGAUCCUUGUGCUGUCUACUAGCCCUGCUCUCCUCACAACCCUGCGCCCCGGCAAUUGUAGUAGGGAUUCUUGUGAUCCCAUAGGUGUCGUUCCACACCGACAGUUUGUUUUGCAGCUCACUGAAGUUUGCUUUGCAGCUCGCUUGCUGGUACAGUGCAUUGGCAACGCCUUCGUGCAGUUGAAGCAACGUGUGCGUGCAGUACGUCCGGCGAGUGCGUGUGGUUCAGCGGCUAAAAGCAUUUGCAUUCUCGCUAUGUUAAUGUGUGUGGUUCAGUGCAUUUUAUAAAAAGUGCAGCAGGGUUAUAUUUUUCUGUGUGAUUGUAGUGUGGAGACAGAAAAAAGGACUAUCUGUGUGGAUUACUCAGUUUGUAAAAUCUUUUCUUUGUGAAAGCAGUGCGCUCAAUGAACCGAAGAAGUACAUAUUUCAAAGUUCAUUAUCAAAAUAUGUAUAAAAUAAAAGAAAUCAGGAAGUUCGUUUGCCCGUUUGAUGCAGUGCGGUUUUCAGUUUAAAAGCAGUGCGGUUUUCUUUCUUUUCUUUACAAAUUUA
rnacentral:lncRNA from 1 species